rnacentral:lncRNA from 1 species
GGCAAGGAAAGCCAGAGGCGCAGAACAUUCUCCAGAGGCUACUGUGGGGGCCAAGACUCCAACUGGCUAUCUGGACACCUGGACUUGAAUCCCAGUUCGGCCACCCAAGUUUCCAGCAAACCGGAAAAACCUAACACGAGGAAAAAGACAACAGACACCAACCCCAAGAAGAUGCAGAUGUUGGAAUUCUCAGAGAGAGGCUUUAAAGCAGCCAUUAUAACCAGGCUCCGAGAAGUAACAACAAACACACUUGAAGUGAAUAGAAAGAGAAUCUCAGCAGAGAAAUACUAAAAAGGACCAAAUGGAAACUUUAGAACUGAAAAAUACAAUAACCAAAAUGAAAAAUUCACUGGAUGGGCACAAUACCAGAAUGGGCCACAGGACAUGAAGCUCCACAGGUAGCCCCUAGGGUUCCUUAGGCUUGGAAGGGUAAGGUCGGGGCACUAAGGCCAGCACCAAACCAAGGGGCUUCGGUCCAGGAGCCCUUGCUGCUG